rnacentral:rRNA from 1 species
AUCUAAGUACCCCGAGGAAAAGAAAUCAACCGAGAUUCCCCCAGUAGCGGCGAGCGAACGGGGAGGAGCCCAGAGCCUGAAUCAGCAUGUGUGUUAGUGGAAGCGUCUGGAAAGGCGCGCGAUACAGGGUGACAGCCCCGUACACAAAAGCGCAUGUGCUGUGAGCUCGAUGAGUAGGGCGGGACACGUGGUAUCCUGUCUGAAUAUGGGGGGACCAUCCUCCAAGGCUAAAUACUCCUGACUGACCGAUAGUGAACCAGUACCGUGAGGGAAAGGCGAAAAGAACCCCGGCGAGGGGAGUGAAAAAGAACCUGAAACCGUGUACGUACAAGCAGUGGGAGCACCCUUCGGGGUGUGACUGCGUACCUUUUGUAUAAUGGGUCAGCGACUUAUAUUCUGUAGCAAGGUUAACCGUAUAGGGGAGCCGGAGGGAAACCGAGUCUUAAUUGGGCGUUAAGUUGCAGGGUAUAGACCCGAAACCCGGUGAUCUAGCCAUGGGCAGGUUGAAGGUUGGGUAACACUAACUGGAGGACCGAACCGACUAAUGUUGAAAAAUUAGCGGAUGACCUGUGGCUGGGGGUGAAAGGCCAAUCAAACCGGGAGAUAGCUGGUUCUCCCCGAAAGCUAUUUAGGUAGCGCCUCGUGAAUUCAUCUCCGGGGGUAGAGCACUGUUUCGGCUAGGGGGCCAUCCCGGCUUACCAACCCGAUGCAAACUGCGAAUACCGGAGAAUGUUAUCACGGGAGACACACGGCGGGUGCUAACGUCCGUCGUGAAGAGGGAAACAACCCAGACCGCCAGCUAAGGUCCCAAAGUCAUGGUUAAGUGGGAAACGAUGUGGGAAGGCCCAGACAGCCAGGAUGUUGGCUUAGAAGCAGCCAUCAUUUAAAGAAAGCGUAAUAGCUCACUGGUCGAGUCGGCCUGCGCGGAAGAUGUAACGGGGCUAAACCAUGCACCGAAGCUGCGGCAGCGAACGUAUCACUUAAAGCGAUUCAGCGGGUUACGAUUGACGGAGCGAAGCGACGUCAAAGCGUAUACAAAGUCGAGUCGGUUUAAGGAUACGUUCGUUGGGUAGGGGAGCGUUCUGUAAGCCUGUGAAGGUGGCCUGUGAGGGUUGCUGGAGGUAUCAGAAGUGCGAAUGCUGACAUAAGUAACGAUAAAGCGGGUGAAAAGCCCGCUCGCCGGAAGACCAAGGGUUCCUGUCCAACGUUAAUCGGGGCAGGGUGAGUCGACCCCUAAGGCGAGGCCGAAAGGCGUAGUCGAUGGGAAACGGGUUAAUAUUCCCGUACUUGGUGUUACUGCGAAGGGGGGACGGAGAAGGCUAUGUUGGCCGGGCGACGGUUGUCCCGGUUUAAGCGUGUAGGUGUGUGUUCCAGGUAAAUCCGGUUCACUUUAACACUGAGGCGUGAUGACGAGGCACUACGGUGCUGAAGCAACAAAUGCCCUGCUUCCAGGAAAAGCCUCUAAGCAUCAGGUAACAU